rnacentral:rRNA from 1 species
ACACUCCUGCGGGAGGCAGCAGUGGGGAAUUUUGGACAAUGGGCGAAAGCCUGAUCCAGCAAUGCCGCGUGAGUGAAGAAGGCCUUCGGGUUGUAAAGCUCUUUUGUCAGGGAAGAAACGGUGAGAGCUAAUAUCUCUUGCUAAUGACGGUACCUGAAGAAUAAGCACCGGCUAACUACGUGCCAGCAGCCGCGGUAAUACGUAGGGUGCAAGCGUUAAUCGGAAUUACUGGGCGUAAAGCGUGCGCAGGCGGUUUUGUAAGUCUGAUGUGAAAUCCCCGGGCUCAACCUGGGAAUUGCAUUGGAGACUGCAAGGCUAGAAUCUGGCAGAGGGGGGUAGAAUUCCACGUGUAGCAGUGAAAUGCGUAGAUAUGUGGAGGAACACCGAUGGCGAAGGCAGCCCCCUGGGUCAAGAUUGACGCUCAUGCACGAAAGCGUGGGGAGCAAACAGGAUUAGAAACCCCUGUAGUCCCAUGAU